CUCGCGCAGCCUCCUGGGCCAAACGCUGCAGUGCUUGGGGCGCGGAGGCCUCCAGAGAGCUGUGUGUUCUGUGAGAAGUUCGCAUUCUCAAGGAACCUCAGCUGUUUGGUUUGCUCUUCUGCCACCCACCCCUACCUGUGCCAGACUGAGGGCUCUCCCUGCCCCACCUUAACAGAAGAGAAUUCCAGAGAUGGUUGUCCAGUCUGGUCUGGAACUCCUGACCUCAAGCGAUCCUCCUGCUUUGACCUCCCAGACUGCUGGGAUUAUAGCCAUGCUGCCAGCCAUGUGUAGGGGUGAAGAGGGGGAUCACGGAACCAGCCCCGGAUGACUCAGGAGCUGUAACACUCACCACAAGGGUCUGCAGCUUC